rnacentral:rRNA from 1 species
GACGAACGCUGGCGGCGUGCCUAAUACAUGCAAGUCGAACGCUGAAGGAGGAGCUUGCUCUUCUGGAUGAGUUGCGAACGGGUGAGUAACGCGUAGGUAACCUGCCUGGUAGCGGGGGAUAACUAUUGGAAACGAUAGCUAAUACCGCAUAACAGUAGAUGUUGCAUGACAUUUGCUUAAAAGGUGCAAUUGCACCACUACCAGAUGGACCUGCGUUGUAUUAGCUAGUUGGUGGGGUAACAGCUCACCAAGGCGACGAUACAUAGCCGACCUGAGAGGGUGGUCGGCCACACUGGGACUGAGACACGGCCCAGACUCCUACGGGAGGCAGCAGUAGGGAAUCUUCGGCAAUGGACGGAAGUCUGACCGAGCAACGCCGCGUGAGUGAAGAAGGGUUUCGGAUCGUAAAGCUCUGUUGUAAGAGAAGAACGAGUGUGAGAGUGGAAAGUUCACACUGUGACGGUAUCUUACCAGAAAGGGACGGCUAACUACGUG